rnacentral:rRNA from 2 species
UCGGACCGCAACCCCAG